UACGGAGGGUGCAAGCGUUACCCGGAAUACUGGGCGUAAAGCGUGCGCAGGCGGUUCGCUGUGUCCUGUGUGAAAGCCCCGGGCUUAACCUGGGAAUGGCAUGGGAAACUGGCGAGCUUGAGUGCGGCAGAGGGGGGUGGAAUUCCACGUGUAGCAGUGAAAUGCGUAGAUAUGUGGAGGAACACCAAUGGCGAAGGCAGCCCCCUGGGUCAACACUGACGCUCAUACACGACAGCAUGGGGAGCGAACGGG
rnacentral:rRNA from 1 species